GGGGUGAUGGCGCAGUUGGUUAGCGUGUAGGUCUCAUAAUCCUGAGAUCGAGAAUUCGAGUCUCUCUCUCACCCCA
rnacentral:tRNA from 1 species